rnacentral:rRNA from 1 species
AUUGAACGCUGGCGGCAUGCUUUACACAUGCAAGUCGAACGGUAACAGGCCUUCGGGUGCUGACGAGUGGCGAACGGGUGAGUAAUGCAUCGGAACGUACCCAGAGGUGGGGGAUAACGCAGCGAAAGCUGUGCUAAUACCGCAUGUGAUCUGAGGAUGAAAGCGGGGGACCGAGCAGCAAUGUUUGGCCUCGCGCCUUUGGAGCGGCCGAUGUCGGAUUAGCUAGUUGGUGGGGUAGAGGCCUACCAAGGCGACGAUCCGUAGCUGGUCUGAGAGGACGACCAGCCACACUGGGACUGAGACACGGCCCAGACUCCUACGGGAGGCAGCAGUGGGGAAUUUUGGACAAUGGGCGCAAGCCUGAUCCAGCAAUGCCGCGUGCGGGAAGAAGGCCUUCGGGUUGUAAACCGCUUUUGGCAGGAACGAAACGGUGUCCGCUAAUACCGGGCGCUAAUGACGGUACCUGCAGAAUAAGCACCGGCUAACUACGUG